AUUAAGAGGAGUUGAAGAACAACUCCCCUUCUCUCUCGGCCAAAGUGGAGAAAAAAAAACCAAGACCAUUUUUAGCCUUCUCAAAAAUAAUUCCUUGAUACAAACCCACUAUAUUGAAGUCCCUAAGUAGCGUGGAAGAGUUGUUUGGGUCAUCUAACCAUUCAUUGUGUCCAAUUGCAAACCCUAGCCAUUUGUGGUAUUGAAGAAGAAAGACCUUGGGGAGCCCGAGGAGUAGAUUGGGAUUAACUUUAGGUUGGCUAUCUUGGAGGGCGUUCGAGGUACAGACGCACAGUUUGGUGAUCCACCAGUCUAGGACACCCUCUUCUGCUAUUUGGAGUGCUCUUCUCAUUCCAGAGCCUACAUUUUGGUAUAUAUAUUUUGUUCGCUGUGUAUGUAUAUAUUUGAUCAGGGGUACGGCGGGGCCCUGUCCCGCCAUAUGUUUUGACUGGUCUGUUUAGAGGUCUGUAGACGUAUUUGUGGGUGUGUGCGCCUACUUCUGUUCAGAUGCGAUUGUAGGAUCCUAUAUGGUUAUGGUAGCCUUGUCGGCGUGCAUUCUGUAUAUGUUUUGGGCCGUUGUGUCAUUUGAUAGCCUUGCCGGCUUUUUGACAUAUAUAUAUAUAUAUAUAUAUAUAUCCGCAUACGGUUGCGUUGAGAUGUGUUUGAACAGUUUGAUAUGGUUUGAGACGGCAUAGAGUAUUUAUGGCCGUAUAUGCUAUUGUGUGUGAUUUGAUUGAAUAAAUACGUCAGGGUACCCAACUAGGGCGCCAGUCACGGCCUACGGGGCUGGGUCGUGACACUGCUACCUCCCACCAGCAAUAGGUACCAAGUAACUCUAUCCACCAAGACUAGGACAGAUGGAAAGAAAUCACCUAGUGUUUUUUUCAACUU